UCGCUCCUCCUUUACGACGAGUCGCUACUCGAUCCAUCGAUGAUGAGUGUCGUGUACUAUAAAUGGGCUGACACGUACGCAACGAAUCAGACCGCACGACGAUUCUUCUUCGCAAAAAAUCGCGAAAGUGCAGACGCUAGAAAGAAUCGCGUUAUGCAACUAUCCGAUCGAUGCGACACGCAUAGAACGAGGAAAGAAUGAGAAAAGAACGAGGAAAGAACGUCCCGCACGAGUCUAUCGGAUCUGUUAGAAACUUCAUGAAGGAUUCUACGUACGUUCCCAACAACGCAGGGAUGCGUCUAUCCUUGAAAGCCAUAAAUAUUCAACCGGUAUACUAUUUCAAACGACGUACGUAAUACGGUACGUAAACGUCGCAAGAAUCCUAAAAGAGCAAAAUCCAGGGACAUCGAAGAGAAAGAAAAAAAGAAAGAGAAAAAACGAAAGACUAUAAUUUUUCUUCGAGAAAUAUUCCGACGCGACUUUUAUCGCAAAAGCAACGAAAGCGUUUCUUCGGCGUUUCGUUCGACGAAAGGAUUGAGCACCUCUGAUCCCAGAAGGAAAAAUCAAGGAAAGGAGACUCGUUUCUCGAAUAAAACGAGUAAGAAGAUACUCGAGAGAUUCCAGGACGGUGCGGUAGCAGCACGUCGAAUACGACGCAUGGCCUUAGCCUAGUUGCAGAAAAGGCCGUUCGCUGGACACGAUGACGGCUACCACCACUACUACCGCACGACCACUAUCGACGAUAAACGACGACGACGACGACGACGACGACGACGAAGACGACGAAGACGACGACGACGACGACGACGACGACGACGACGACGACGACGGCGAGGAGGUUUAAGUAAAUCAACUAAUCAGUACCACGCUGUUGUCUCGCGUACGAGUUCGUGCUCCCCGACUUAUUUACUGGGAUAAACCGGCUGUUUAGACGGCAUCGUACACGUCGUUUGAAAGACGAUGCUUCCAAGACCCUACACGACGAGAGAACGACGAAAGAACGACGGAAGAACGACGCCUAGACUCCUCAUUCUUAUAUUUCUUUCCUUGCUCUUCUCUCAUCUGCGAUCCUCUCCUUCGUCUUCUCUUUUCCGAUUUCAUUUCUUUUCGCCAAUUCCCUUCCUUGCGAUGGAGUAAUCGCGAGAUUAUUCGUUAGUUGCCGAUAACGAUGACGUUUUACAUGACAACGUGAUUUCGAUCGAAUCGCAUUAUUCGAAAACGAACGAACGAUAUCGACAAUGCAAAUAAAGUCAGACUUUACGUAACGCCACGUCGAAACUAGGCGUCGCUAAAGGCGUCGCUAAGCCGCGACGAACGGGAGGCGUUUUUAAAAGAAAGAAGAGGAAAAAGAAAAAUGAAGAAAAAAGAGAAAAAGAGAAAGAGAGAAACAACGAAAAAUGUCGGGACCAACGACCUCGUCUUUUUUUCGCGAUAAGAAAACGUUCGUUCGGGAGGCAGAGCAAGAUUCGCGAUGCGUUCGUCAAAUUUCGCGAUAUUUCGGAAUAAAAAUGAAUGAUCGUAUCGACCGAUCGAUCGAUCGAAAAGAAGAGGAGGAACGACGCGUGAAUGGAACGCGAGCUUACGUAAAUGUUUCUCCUUUCUAAAGAAACUUCAGAUAUGCAUCUCUCUUUUCCUUUUGUCACGUACAAUGCAUUCGCCGUACAAACAUCGAUCGCUUUAAUCCCAACAAACUUGUACUUUUUUCUCUUUCUUUCAUUUGUUCUUCGUUCUCUUUUACCUAUUUCGAUAAACUCUUGAACGUUCGAUCGUACUUCUUUCCGAAGGAAAAAGAUUCGAGUACCGCGAUUUGACACGUAUCGCUCGUUGACGAUCAACGUUAUUAACGAUUAAUUCGCGAAGAUAAAGCAACCGGUUAUGGGCGAUAAUUGAAGAGUAAUCUUUCGUAGAUGCACUCGUUUCGUCUACUCUCCAUUAACGUAAGAAGGUCGAGCGAAAUCGAAGCGUGCUAUCGUUGGAGGAAUUUCGGGACGUUGAACGAUCGGUUACAUAAAAUUCAUAAGACCGCGCGUUGGAACGCGAUGACUCGCUGGAUUCGCCAUGAUUUCCGGGAACGUCUCGUUUCUUACAUUGGAACUCGACACUCCUUGCCUGGAAGGAAGGCCGCAGAGAAAAGGAGAAAAGGAGAGAGGGGAAGAAAAAGAAAAAGAAAAAAGAAAGGAGGAGAGCGAGAAGAGGUCCGAACGUACAAGCCGAACGCGUGCGUGACGUUAUCGGUGAUGUGCUAAAGUCUCGUGGAGGCUGCCGUUGCUUCUGUCUCGUCGUUAAAGAGUACGUCCUUGACCAGUCGACAGGACGUACAGUUAUGUACCAAGUAGUUUUACGUACGCUUCGUCUCGCAGCUGCCCGUAUACGCGCUACGUGUAUAUACCCACUGCUCUUUAUACGCCUGAAAGAUGUUAAAAAUUUGGCAUUUUUUUCGGAAAGUGAUGCGAAUCGAUCCGAUCCGACGAUAAGCUCUUACGGAUGCGAACGAUUCCCGCUCGGUGCGAUCCGAUACUACGACGUUCGCUGGAACUAAGGCAAAUCUAUAACGCUAAUAAAUGCAUUUAACGAGGAGCGCUAUACUUUGACGUUAUCUCUUUUCAAAUAAGAUACUCGAAAUAAGUCUAAACUCUGAGCGAGCCAAACUAUUAAGAAUCUCCGAAAAUUGAUGAGGCCUAUUUUAACUUUGCCUAGCAUCACGAUCUCACGUUUUCAGUGGGCGUUCUCGUACGGACCAAAACGUAAACGCACAUUCAGGAAAAUAAUACGUCCGUCGUUUGCGAAAUCGUUUAGAAUGGACCGUCUGACGACGGCGACGACGCCGGCGACGGCGACGGCGACGGCGACGGCGGCGACGACGACAACAACAACGACGACGACGACGACGACGACGACGACGACGACGAACCUAAAAGGGGGCAAACCAGCGAGAGGAGGCAACGGGCGAACGACGACGUAAUGCAAGGCAAUUGGCCUUGCGAGGUGAACGUACUCGCCAACGAUUCGACAAGUAUGACGAUGCGAGGAGGAUAAGAAGGAGGCAUAUCGUACGUACGUUGCACUGCCACGCCAAACAAAAUUCGUGUCGUCCUGACUCGCGAUCGGUAUGCGAUUCGUCCUACUCGUUGGUCGCGCUUUAACCGAUCGAAUCGCUAUUAACCGUUCGCUUUAUUUACGCGUUGAUGCGCGCCUAAUGUAGGUCCAAACCUACAUAAAACUAGAGUAGUUUAAUGACGAUACCUCCUAGAAAUAGAGACUCGGAAGAGACGUAAUAAGAAAGAAAGGCGGAAAGAAAGAGAUCAUUGUUUCUCCCCCUCGUAGAGAAGCAAAGAGGUCAUACGCCUAAUUAUCCCACGGCCCGGGCACGAGCACGAAAUACAAGGAAUAUAAAAGGUAAAGAGAAAAAAAUAAAAGGAGAGAGGGGUCACACAACAACGACGGAGACUCGAAUCGGAAAAGGGAACGAACGAGAAAAAAAGACAGAGAGAGAGAGAGAGAGAGAGAAAGAGAGAAAAUGCUUGGCUCGUUCCAUCGCGAAGCACGCGCGACGAGCAACGAAGCUUAUCGUAAAUUAUUUCAAUGCACCUAACUCGCCUAACGUGCAGGGAGUAUUAUUUACGACGAGGGUCCUCUCUCUCUCUCUCUCUCUCUCUCUCGUUGUCGUUCUCUUGCUCUUUCUCGCGCACUGGGUGCAGCCUAGGCCGUCUCGGAUAGGGUAGGAUACGAUUACAUCACGGCGCAAACAGCCGGUAAUAGUGGCUCAAGGCUACUAUGCGCAUAUGCACAUGCAUGGCCGCAACGCCGGCUGGCCCACACGAACGCCUCCUAUUUAUUUUUUUUUUUUUCUUUUUCUUUUUCUUUUUCCCUUUUCCUCUCUUCUCCAACGUUCGCGAGAAAGUCUUACUCCCCUCGAUUACGUGCGUUAAAGACGCUUACAUUUUCUUACAUUAUUUUUGCCUUCUUUUUUAUACUUGACAUCUCGGAGUCUAGUUCCGAGUCAACGAUGUCGCAUCGCUGUAUAUUUUUUAGACGAGUUACGAGUUAGAAAGAAUCUCGCGUUACGACUCUUCCUACUAGAUUCAUAAUGAUUAUCGACGUGGAAAAUAAAUGUUGUAACUCUCCUCCGCUCCAGUCUUUCCUCCGCUCUUUCCACGCACUCACACGAACGCAACGAUUUCGACGUCCGAGUGUAUUUUAAGAAGCCGACCGACGCAGGACUUAUCUUUAAUGACUUCGCAGGGUCGAAAGUGCAACGCGUCCUCGAGUUAUAUAAAACCCUACACCGUCUGAAAUCGUUCCUCGGUUGAGAUAUCUCUUCGAAGACGAACAGACGCACACUACGAUCUUGGGCCUUUAUCUUCUCACACAACGUACGUACCUCUAUAAUUUUAUCGGUCGAUAACGAAGAAUGAAAAUUCGAUAUACACGUAAUUUUAUUUACUCGUACGAUCGUCGUCGUAGUCGUCGUCAUCGCCGUCGUCAUCGACCGAACACGUGGAAAGAAAAUAACGCGUGGGCUUGUGCCAACGUCCUCGGGUCUCUCUUUUUCUUCUACCGCUUGAAAUAAAUCAUAUUAAAAUACGAUACAAACGCGUGUUUCUUUUCGGUGUUACGGAAGAGAUCGACCAUUUUCUUCUUUUCCGUUCUUUCUUCUUUUAUCUUCUUAAAUUAUAUCGUAUAGAUGCAAUGAAAUUUUGAUCGGCGUACGCGCGAUAAAUAAUAUUUAAGGAAGACGAAUAAUUUUUGAGACCUAAGGAACGUUCUCGUAUCACAGGAUCGAUCUUUAAAAACGUUGCAUCAACGUUCGUGAAAAAUCGAGACAGCUUUCGAUAAAGAGCUUAGGCCCGAUGUCUUCUUAAGGAUUCGAUAUCUUUUUUUUUCUCACAUUGAAGAGACUCUUUAAUCGAGGCCGUUGAGAAGAGUUUGUAAUAACGGGGACACAGGUGCCGAACGCAACGCGUCGCGUGUAAUCGUAAAAAAAAAGGAUAAUCGUGGCGAGACGAUACGCAUAAUCCAAACUAGUUCUCAUCGAUCAUUCGGCACGUGUAUUUCUCACUUGUGUCGAGAGAUAGAAGUCUGCUUAACAGAGAGGAAGAUGGAGGGAGGAGAGAGAGAGAGAGAGAGAGAGAUAAACCAGUCGCAAGAAUGUUGCGGAGCAACUCGCAUGAUUCGUGUUGCCUAAGCCAGAUUUAUUUACGUCGUAGGGGCUACAUACAUAAAGAGUGAGAGAGAGGGAGAAGAGAUACGUGUAAUCUAACGUACGAUCAUCGGUUCGAUCGUAAAAGGAAAGGAAGUCUCGCCAAUAUCGAUAUAUCACGAUCAACGCGUUGCCUUGGAACGAGAUUCUGAUUUUAUUUUGAAAAAGUUCGGAAUGUCUGUAGUAAGAGAGUAAGAGAGAAAGAGGUUUAUUAAUAUCUAUACCAAUAUCGUGAAAUAAUAAACGUUUGGUUCGAUAAUAAUACUCGCGACGCAAAAUAAUAAUUAUUAACCAACGGACGAUGCGAAUAAUAAAAUAAUGAAAUAAUUAAUACGGUAAUAUCGUAGGAAUAAAAAUAAUGAAAAACGCGUCUCGAUUCUGUUUCAAGCGGUUAUUUAUAAGCGUCAAACUCGUAAAAGAAAAUGGAAGAAAAACAAAUAGGCCGUAGUACUCGGAUCUGUUCGUUAUUAAUAGUCGACGUCGAUCGAACCGAUUAGAUCGAAAGAAAUCGUUUGAUUUUUCAUCUUGGAAUGACGAGUAAGCCGGUUUCGAGGACGCACUCGAUCGUAUCUCGCGAUAGGCGUUAUUACUAUCGUCGUUAUUAUUAUUAGUCGUUGAUAAAAGUAAAAUAAUUUCCGGCGCGAACGUAAAAGCUAUCACCGACAUAGUCGACGUUGCGACGUAAUUCGCGACCGCGCCAAAAACAAAGUUUUUUACGUCUGCCGAACGUCUCGACGUAACUCGGUAUAUGUAUCUACGAACGAUACAGCUCUCCUUCUUAUUGUUAUUGCUCUUGUUAAACGCGUCGUUCUAUUCCGUCUAACGAAAAGAUAUAUCUGUACGCUGAACUAUGUGGAUUCGAAUCGAUCAAAAGAUUAUAUUCGUUCGAGCGGUCGAAAUAUUUUGUAUCGAAAAAAGAGACAAAUCCUUUCGAAAUUUCGACGCGAGGACGUCGCAAUGCUCUUCGCGCUCUCUCUCUCUCUCUCUCUCUCUCUCUCUCUAAAAACGAAGAGAAGCGUUACGCCGACGAAAGGCACGUAGGAGCUAGUACGAGCCAGCUUUCGAAUUCCAUUUCGCGGUCCGAGGGAGAGGGAGAGGAAUAGGGAGAGGAAGAGAGAGAGCGCACACGCCGUGCCGUUUGUUUAUCCGUUUGUGCACCCUUUUAAAAAUAGGCUUUCAUUCAAGGAUCCCGGCCAGACGCGGGCCAGACAUUCGACAGCACGCGUACAGAUAGCUUCUGCUAUUUCGUCACGCUCGUCUUCUCCUCGCACGUUUCGCCGCUCUCUUUCGACGCGCGUCUCAUCUCAAUGUGUGUGUGUGUGUGUGUGCGUGUAUGCGCGCGCACGCGCACGCGCUUCAAUAAAGUGGGACAACAAAGAAGAGACAACAAACGAGCCAAUGACGACACGUUCGGACGACCUCACAUCUUAAUCGCGUCUACGAAUUAGAUGUUUUUCUCGUUCCAUGCUUUUUUCAACACCGGUGUUGAUCCCAUCCGAUGAAUUAUUUGCCAGUACACGCUCGCGUAUCUCCCUUUCUAUCUAUCUCUCUCUCCCUCUCGUUUGGCUCGCACUUUGUGUGCAAACAAAUCGUGCGCGUGUAUGUGAUGCUCCAUGCGUACACGCGUAAUGGUGGAAGGAAAAACAUUGUCUGACGGGGCGACGUGAACAUGGGAAAGUGUUGGCUGGUAUAUGAUGCGGGUAUGUAGGUAGAUAUAUACGUGCCGAUGUCGUCGAUCGACGUGGCCGCGCUACGAUAAAUACGGUAGAUAGCGUGUGUGUGUGUGUGCGUGAGAGAGAGAGAGAGAGAGAGGAAACGAAAGAGCGAGGAAAAGAAGACAGGCAGAAUUGGAGAGACACGUAGAGACAGUUAUACGGAAAUCAAAAAGAGAGAGAGAGAGAGGACAGAGAACAGGAAGACAGAGAAAUUUACAGACGGAUGCACAGAAAAAGAUAGGAAAUAGACACGGAGAGAUGGACAAAGAUAGAGAGAAAGGUAUAAGCAUACAGAGACAGAAAAGAACAAUGACAUGGCACGUAGCAGAGACGCAAAAAUAUAAUUCUCUUCUACUAGAGAUAUUAUGAAAAUGAAAACUCUUUAGGAAGCUAUCGAAAAAGAUACGUUUCAUUCGCGCAUCUCCUCGAAAGUUAACAUGGUUGCUCGCAGAGAGAAAUAAUCCGGUGUUUAGACGAUGGGAUCCGAUUUUGUGACAGGCUGUAUACACGCUGUGAGCUUAUUUUUGUUUAGUCUGCUCGCCCGAAAGCGCUGCCACCGCACUCGGAAUUACGUACAGGUACCAUACAAUCCAUUCUCUCUCUCUCUCUCUCUCUCUCUCUUCAAAAGCAGAUGAGAGGCAUUCUUUCCUAAUAUUAAACGUCGCAGAGUGGAAUUCAUGAAUCUAUUAGCUAGUUAUUAUAUCCUCCUAAUCGAAAAUUUUUAAGACAAAGAACGAGAGAGAGAGAGAGAAAAGAGAACUUAAUUUUAAUUUGAUUUCCAGCUCGACCUCAUAUAACGAAAGGCUUCUCUCAAUCGGCUUCGAAAUUAUCGAUGAGGUAUCACGUAGAGUAGAAAAUGGCCAAACGUAUUCCACGUAGGACAGGCGCGAACGACGGCUGGUCGAUGACCCAGUGCUGUGUACUUGGCACCAUUUUCCUACCCUACCCACCUCACCUUUACCUCCCUCUCGCUCUCUCUCUCUCUCUCUCUCUCUCUCUCUCUCUCUCUCUCUCACUUUUGCUUCCUCCCUUCCAUCCAUGUUUUCGCAUUCCAGAGGGAGAGGACAGGAAAAGAGGGUGAGCGAAUUGAAUCAAGAGACGAGGGUAUGACGCAAGCUAGCCAAACUCUCUAUAGAAAAAUCCCCUACUGGAUGUUAGCAACGCGUAUUUCACUUCCGAGAGUUGCAUUCUCCUUUCAAGCUGCAGGUUAAGGCCCUUCGAACAACCUCCUGCUAUAACAGGGUUAGUACAUAUGUACGUAUAGUUCUCCGUAGAAGAGUCAGUCAAUACUUGGCUCGAACCGAGAACACCGGUGGUAACGCUACGGCAGCACAUGGUUCUCUUUCUCUCUGUCUUUCGCUAUUCACCCCGAUCCUACGUUGGUAUACCUUGUGAAGAGUUGCGAAGGGUGCCAAACCCUCCCUCUCUCUCUCUCUCUCUCUCUCUUUCUCUCUCGUCAUUUUCCUCUCUCGUCGUUUCUGCUAGCAGCUAGUACCGAGGGCGAGUACGAGCUACGGUUACGAGUUACCAGAUGCGAAAGAAGAAAAAAGAUUACUAUAUCGAAUAAAAAUGAAUUGACGAGAGAAUCGUGCAACGACUCGACCGAUUGCGAGAAAGUAAGGAACAAUGAGAUCGUUGCGAGUUGUAACGAAUCGUCACUAACUUUUGCUAAUCCGCUUUGCAACAAUGGAAGGAAAGAGAGAAAAAAGACUGGCAUUGUCUAUUGUAAAGAGACAGAGUGAAUCACCGGUAAUGCGAGGAUUCUCCGACGAAACGUCGUGAUAACUCUACAUGCUAAUAAGAAAAAGAGAGAUAAAUAGAGAGAGAGAGAGACAGAGAGAGAGACAGAGAGACAAAGAUAGAAACACACAGAGAGAACACUUGCGUAUAAUCGUAACAUCGUGCCACGAUUCGUGGGCGUUACUCAUAGAGACGUUUUAUGUGCGUCACAAUACAAAUUUAGAAAUUACGUGCGUGCCAACUCGAAUGUAUACUAUCCUCGAAAAAUUUCCGGACAAUGCGCGUCUAUUUAGGAAUUAUUAUCAGGAUAUACACGAUUCUGAUCUGUUUUUCUUUUUUGUUCCUUUUUUUUCCACUUUCUUUUUUCUCGUUCAAUUUCUCCUCAUCCAGGGAAAUUUUUGCAAAGCAAUUUACAUCUCGGUUGGAAACGAUCGCUUGUUGCUGACGGCCUACUAAAGGAGAAAAGAUCGAUCGAUAAAAAAAAGGGUUUACGCGCAGAGGAGGAAGAGGAGGAGAAAGAGAAGGAAAGGAUGGAUGGAGUUCUCGAGAGAGGUUGGUUGCCAAGAGGGUCGCGAGAGGAGGACCGGGGAGAGAGAGAGAGAGAGAGAGGAAAAGAGAAGGAAAAGAAUGAAGAGAAUUGAAGAAGAAGGUGGAGAGAUUUCUUCCUCUCCGUCGUGGGAUGGCGUCGAAGAGUGCGGAGUAUCUAGGUCUGUGUAACGAUUUUUAGAAUCCCGACCCUCCCGACAAUCGUCCAGUACGCCAUAAAAAACUUGAGCCACCCCGCAGCGAGGGUUUCCAUAGCGACCAAGCCCUUUCGCAACCCCCGCUCCCCUCCUCUUCGCCCUUCUGUCAUUGACCUAUACUAUUCUCUCUAUUUCUUUUCUCUUGUACGAUUUGUAUUUAUUUUUAAUCUAAUAAAUCCUACAAAUUAAUUAAACGUUAUCGACCAAGCUCGCUUUAUAUCCGUAUACCGUUUCGAAUUUGUACUUUACUUUGAAGAAAUUCAAAAGAGAUAAUUAAAAGGCAACACGAAGAAAAAUAAUGAAGAGAUCUAGAUUACGAUAAAAGAAAUUAAAAGUACAAUAAAAAAGGAACGCAAUUGUUAGUACUUCCUCUCCUCUCCUCUCUUCUCCUCUCUUCUCGGCUUUCUGUUUUUUCUCUCCAGCCGGCGUAAUAAACAAAUGAGAAAGAGAAGCAAAUCGUCACAGUCGAGAACAUACGUACAUACAUAUGUACGUAGUCCAAGAGCUCCAUCAGACAUGCAACGCCGUCGAAAAAAGGUAGGGGCGUGGAAUCGUAAAUCGAGAAUUAAAUAUGACGCCGAGAGGUAAGGCGUAUAUAAAUUUUCCUUGCCGAUGAAUAAUAAAUGGCGGUAGUGCGCGAGGAACAGAGUGAGAGAGUGAGAGAGAGAGAGGAGGGGGACAGAGAAAGAAGGGUACAAUACGGUAUAUAGUCACGGUCGAAAGACGUACGAUGAGUGGGAGAGAGAGAGAGAGAGAAAGAAGGAAAACGAACUGCCGAGUGGGAGGGAGAGAGAGAGAGAGACGGCAAGGAGUAAACGAAAGGACGUUAACCCUUUUCUUGUUUCUCUUCUGCCCAUCCCUUCGUUCCUCCUCAUCGCAGGAGAGCUCCUUUGCACCGAAGAGUCUCUCUCGCUCUCUCGCGGCUUUACUCGGUUUUUCCAUAUCUCCCUCUCUCUCUCUCUCUCUCUCUCUCUCUCUUUCUCUGGCUCUUGCUAGGUACGAGCGCACUCCUCUCUCGUGCGACUGCUCUCCCUUCACCAAGGGGAGAACAAAAAUCACGAAUCUACGACGAGGCAUUCGACGAGAACGAGAGAGACUCGAUCGAGUUGCUUUCGUGCACGUCCGUCACGUUUUCUCGAGUACGUCGAA